rnacentral:rRNA from 1 species
CCUACGGGUGGCUGCAGUGGGGAAUAUUGGACAAUGGGGGGAACCCUGAUCCAGCCAUGCCGCGUGUGUGAAGAAGGCCCUCGGGUUGUAAAGCACUUUCAGUGAGGAAGAACGCCUGGUGGUUAAUACCCAUCAGGAAAGACAUCACUCACAGAAGAAGCACCGGCUAACUCCGUGCCAGCAGCCGCGGUAAUACGGAGGGUGCGAGCGUUAAUCGGAAUUACUGGGCGUAAAGCGCGCGUAGGUGGCUUGAUAAGCCGGUUGUGAAAGCCCCGGGCUCAACCUGGGAACGGCAUCCGGAACUGUCAAGCUAGAGUGCAGGAGAGGAAGGUAGAAUUCCCGGUGUAGCGGUGAAAUGCGCAGAGAUCGGGAGGAAUACCAGUGGCGAAGGCGGCCUUCUGGACUGACACUGACACUGAGGUGCGAAAGCGUGGGUAGCAAACAGGAUUAGAUACCCUGGUAGUC